ensembl:rRNA 5S_rRNA 5S ribosomal RNA
UCUAAAGUCAUGUCCCCAUGAACAUACCCAAUCUGAUGUGGUUUUGGAAGCUAAGCAGGGUUGGGCACAGUUAGAA